rnacentral:lncRNA from 1 species
CCACCGAUUUGACAAGCAAUUAUUUGUGUUGGGAGUUGGGGCUAGUGACUGAAAAAUAGAAGAUGGCCACAAACCCACCACAUCGAUUUGGCCAUCAAGUUAGCCUCACACAUGGCCAAUUGGCAGGCCUAAUAUUUUAUGAACGUGGUUGCUUCCUGACAAAGAAGGCAAAAUAGAAGAUCUCUCUGUUCCCCCAUGUUGACUCAGCCUUAGCUGUAACUCCCUCUUGGGAACAGUCUUGAAGCUCACGACCACUCCAGCUCUUAAUCAAAUUCAGACUAGUCAAACAAUUUUGAGCGAAUCUAUGUCUUCAGAUCCAGGACUAUUGAUCUAUGCCGGGAUGGAUGAAUCAUGCACUUACCAAGAUUUUCAGGAAUUUCAGGUUACUUAACGUUCACUGUUCCAUUUACCCAGAUGUAAGGUUGCUGAAAAUGCAACUCUUUGGGAGAUUCAUUGUGAAGACUACCUGCCCAAAAGAGACCACAUGUGUGAACUGAUAUCUGUAUGCUGAGUGGCCACUCUGCUGUUUGUAUGCGUAUGCACUAGAUCAUUUUCCAAAUUGAAUAAGGGGUUUCCCUUAUUGUCUCAGCAAAGGAUAAGUGUUACCUUCUUAUUUUUGAGCUCCCGCAAGUCCAAAGAAGCCAUCUUUGGAAGGACGUGACAUAAGGCAUGUGGAAGGGGCUGCCAAGUUGUCAUUAUCACAUGCCCAACUCGUACUUUGUUAAAACCAACUUGCCACAAUUGGUUAACAUUUGCAGCCCAGAUAAGAAAACCUCCUGGUUGUGGCCCAUAAAUAUUUUAUCUGGCAUUGAUGCACAUCCACUGUUCACCAAUAGUAAGGCACAAAAUAAUUUUACCCUUGGACAAGAUCCUUUUGGUUGAUCGAGUUAAGACAAUGGAGUG